UACGUAGGGGGCAAGCGUUGUCCGGAUUUAUUGGGCGUAAAGAGCGUGUAGGCGGCCAGGUAGGUCUGCUGUGAAAACUCGAGGCUUAACCUCGAGCUGUCGGCGGAAACCAUCUGGCUAGAGUCCGGAAGAGGAGAAUGGAAUUCCCGGUGUAGCGGUGAAAUGCGCAGAUAUCGGGAAGAACACCCGUGGCGAAAGCGCUCUGCUGGACCUUAACUGACACUGAGGGACGAAAGCUAGGGGAGCGAAUGGG
rnacentral:rRNA from 1 species